UGUUUUUAUUUUGUUGUGAUAUGUAUUUUACAUUACAUAAUUCAGGCUCUCCCCUCCUUCCCUAACCCCCGAAUUUCACAAAUCAGAAUCACUCGCCCUAAUUCUUCCUCUCCACCGUUUCAAACGGAGCCUCGAUUGCUCGAACUGGCUAUUGCUCAAAUUUAUGUGAAAAUUUAUUGUCUUCUUCGAUUAUAACUUCUCUCACUUCAUCCUGUUAAGUUUUUUUUUUCAGUUCCACCUUUUUCCCUCUGUAAAUAUAAACAAGUAAACAUAGAUAACUGGGGAUUUUGGCACGGACACCACUAAUAACUGUAAUCGCUGAUGCAAUGGGAGUUUUCUUCUUCAGGAGCUUGUGUUUUGAAUCUCUACAUCAACAUGGAUCCUAAGCACUCCGGAAAUGUUCUCAAGCAUUUGGAGAAGCAAAAGGAGCUUUUGAUGGAAGUAUACAGGUCGAUGUCUCAUGAACUGCGCGGAAUGCAGGUAGAGGAAGAAAUGAUAAUGCGCAAGUAUUAUGAGUUUAUGACUGCACAAGAGAAGGUUUCAGGAUAGCUUUUAUCGCAUAUGGAACUGAAUUUGUCUUAGAAAAUCUCGUGUGGUGAUGAUCUCGGAGUGAAAGAAAUUUAAAUAUAUGAGGGCAACAAUCAGCAAAUGAACUUUGGCAGAACGAUAAAUGUGUCCCUACUUCUUUUUCUAAGCAUUCAGCUAAGUAAUGGAUUCUUGAGAGUAUGUUAAGUUUAAAUGCUCAUCUUGCAUAUGGCUACAAUCCUUUUCUAGCUCUGAGUAGGUUUAGACAUAGUGUAUUGAUAUUUGAAAUUAACAGGACAAUAACUGCACAUUUAUAUUCACAUCAGAGGAAAAUGGUGUCUGCAUUGAAAACUAGUGCCGAUGUUAAAGAGAACGAUAACGAAAACGAAGAACCUAGUGAAGCUGGAGCAUUGGUUGUUGCUAGCAAGGAAGAACAAUCAUGACCCUCUUUGAUAUGCUUAAUUCCUUCAAUGUAGUGUUAGCUUAACCAAGUUUAUUAGCUUGUUUCUUUGCAUCUAAAAGUGAGCAAUCUCUGUUCCAUUUCUUUGGGUGUUAAAAACGAGCAAAAUAGAUCAAACUAGGGCUGUGUGCUUUAUCACUUUUCUAACCAGACAAUAAUUUGAACUUUGCUUUUGCUUUUUAAAA